UCAAGCGUUCAAAAAGACAACACUUCUAUCAGUUGUCACUCAUAAUUUCUAUCAAAAAAUUGUUUACUGCAUUUAACUACGAUGUCUGACGAAAAUGAAAAUCUCAGUAAUGCGGAGACACAGUUAUUGCUAAGAGUACGGUUGAAUAUGGAGGACGAGUUAAAAUCGGGUAGAAGGAAAAAAAAUGUAUUGUGGAAGAAAGUUGUGACCGAAGUUAAAAAUGUAAAUGAAAACAAUAAAAAUUAAAAUGAAGUUCAUCAGAAAAAGUAAUAAAAAAAAUUAUUCAAAUAAAGGAAGGUGAGGUAAAGUAAAUUUUUUAUGAUGAAAA